rnacentral:rRNA from 1 species
GAUGAACGCUGACAGAAUGCUUAACACAUGCAAGUCAACCUGAACUUCGGUUUGGGUGGCGGACGGGUGAGUAACGCGUAAAGAACUUGCCCUUACAGAUAGGGACAACAUUUUGGAAACGAAUGCUAAUACCUGAUAUUAUGAUUUUUAGGGGCAUCCUAGAAUUAUGAAAGCUAUAUGCGCUGUGAGAGAGCUUUGCGGCCCCAUUAGGCUAGUUUGGAGAGGUAACGGCUCACCAAGGCGAUGAUGGGUAGCCGGCCCUGAGAGGGUGAUCGGCCACAGGGGGACUGAGACACGGGCCCUUACUCCUACGGGAGGCAGCAGUGGGGGAAUAUUGGACAAUGGACCAAGAGUCUUGAUCCAGCAAUUUCUGUGUGCACGAUGAAGUUUUUUCGGAAUGUAAAGUGCUUUUCCAGUUGGGGAAGAAAAAAGUUGACGGUACCCAACAGAAGAAAGUGACGGGCUAAAUACGUUGCCAGCAGCCGCGGGAAAUAACGGAAUGUCACCAGGCGUUAUCCCGGAUUUUUUUUGGGCCGUAAAGCGCCGUCUAGGUGGGUUUUAUAAGACCUGAAGGUGAAAAUUUUGGGGUUCCUACUUUUUUAUAUGCGUUGGAAAACUGUGUAACUAGGGUACUGGAGAGGUACGCUGGAACUACAGGGUAGAGGUGAAAUUUCUUAAAAUUUCUCGCACCCCCCCACGGACAACAGAUUCUG